GUAUAAGCAUGGAUGAAGAGUAGUACUUUUCAGGAUGAUUAAAAGAGAGCUUGUGGUUGGUGCGAACAAGCAAUCAUUUGAAAAGGAAUGGACUUCGGAGCUUUAUGUGUGAAACGGAGUAGCAUAUAACGGGAUGACCUUACGUUAAAGAGGUUCCAUGCACGUCAUGGACUAAGCUGGCUCUAACGGGCACUUAGGGUGGCACCGCGGAAAUGAUCCCAUUCGUCCCUAUU
rnacentral:ncRNA from 1 species